rnacentral:sRNA from 1 species
GCAGCGGGCGCCGCCAGCCAGCGGAAGAUGGCGGAGGGCGGAGGCCCUGAGCCCGGCGAGCAGGAGAGGAGGUCUUCCGGGCCGCGGCCUCCGAGCGCGCGGGAUUUGCAGAACUUAAUAUGAAUGUGAAGAACUUGCAAAGAAACUUGAAAACAGCCAAAGGGAUGGCAUAUCAAGAAAUAAAUUGGCCUUGGCAGAAUUGUAUGAAGAUGAAGUGAAGUGCAAAUCUUCCAAGUCUAAUAGACCUAAAGCUACAGUCUUCAAGAGCCCACGGACACCACCUCAACGGUUUUACUCAAGUGAACAUGAAUACAGUGGAUUAAAUAUAGUUCGACCUUCAACUGGGAAAAUUGUGAAUGAACUUUUCAAAGAGGCAAGGGAACAUGGGGCUGUCCCUCUGAAUGAAGCCACAAGAGCUUCAGGUGAUGAUAAAUCUAAGUCAUUUACAGGUGGAGGAUACAGAUUGGGUAGUUCUUUUUGUAAGCGGUCUGAAUAUAUCUAUGGAGAAAAUCAGCUGCAAGAUGUUCAGAUUUUGCUUAAACUGUGGAGCAAUGGUUUCAGUUUAGAUGAUGGAGAAUUGAGACCUUACAAUGAACCAACAAAUGCUCAAUUUCUGGAGUCUGUUAAGAGAGGGGUGACUCUCAUUGCAUGUAUGCCUGAAAUUCAGCAACUUAUGUUAGAAAUCUUUUAAUGUGGCAUUACUGCUGGCAGAAGAUU